GACGGAGGAGGCUAGCGUUGUUCGGAAUUACUGGGCGUAAAGCGCACGCAGGCGGCCGACCGAGUCGGGUGUGAAAGCCCGGGGCUCAACCCCGGAUGUGCAUUCGAUACUGGUUGGCUGGAGCCCGGGAGAGGAGAGCGGAAUUCCCAGUGUAGAGGUGAAAUUCGUAGAUAUUGGGAAGAACACCGGUGGCGAAGGCGGCUCUCUGGUCCGGUGCUGACGCUCAGGUGCGAAAGCGUGGGGAGCAAACAGG
rnacentral:rRNA from 1 species